rnacentral:rRNA from 1 species
CCUCUGGUGUGCCAGUUGUCCUGCCAAGGGCAUGGCUGGUUGGCUACGUUCGGGAGGGAUAACCGCUGAAAGCAUCUAAGCGGGAAGCCUGCUUCAAGAUGAGUAUUCCCACCUCCUUGAGAGGGUAAGGCUCCCAGUAGACGACUGGGUUGAUAGGCCAGAUGUGGAAGCCCGGUAACGGGUGGAGCUGACUGGUACUAAUAGGCCGAGGGCUUGUCCUCAGUUG